UAACAGUUCAUUUGCAGCUAGGCCAGUUUCUAUAAAACCGUUUUUACAACGGGCUAAGAGAGAUUCUAGGCUAUUGGAAAAUAGGUGUCCGAUCGAUUGCCAGACGCUUCCGGGUAGUCGUGCCGUGUACUACUGAAGGUCUUGGGCAAGGCACCCGCCGGGUAGCUUUAUCGCGAUUACUACGCAACAUCUAAAAGGGUUGUGAAGACCGGUGCAAGGGCUGUUUCUCCACUGUGUCAUUUUAUGUCACAUUGAGAGUACUAGGGUAGCUGCUCACAGGAGAGGUUCCUGGGUCCGUCUUCGCGCACUGCACCGCGUAUUGUAGUGGUAAACCGCACCUCACAGUAUUGAUUGAAUCACUUGCUUGUAGUGCCGGUGCCUAUGUGUGUGUGUGCUGGGUGUGUAUAUGUGUUUGAUUUGUAGGCACCAGAGUUCAGAGCACGGUUGGUGAACUUCACGUUUAUCCCGGACCGGUAGCCUACCUU